rnacentral:rRNA from 1 species
AUUGAACGCUGGCGGCAUGCCUUACACAUGCAAGUCGAACGGCAGCACGGGGGCAACCCUGGUGGCGAGUGGCGAACGGGUGAGUAAUGCAUCGGAACGUGCCCAGUAGUGGGGGAUAACCAGUCGAAAGGCUGGCUAAUACCGCAUACGACCUAAGGGUGAAAGCGGGGGACCGUAAGGCCUCGCGCUAUUGGAGCGGCCGAUGUCUGAUUAGCUAGUUGGCGGGGUAAGAGCCCACCAAGGCGACGAUCAGUAGCUGGUCUGAGAGGACGACCAGCCACACUGGGACUGAGACACGGCCCAGACUCCUACGGGAGGCAGCAGUGGGGAAUUUUGGACAAUGGGCGCAAGCCUGAUCCAGCCAUGCCGCGUGCGGGAAGAAGGCCUUCGGGUUGUAAACCGCUUUUGGCAGGAACGAAACGGCGCAAGCCAAUACCUUGCGCUAAUGACGGUACCUGCAGAAUAAGCACCGGCUAACUACGUGCCAGCCGCCGCUGU